rnacentral:rRNA from 1 species
UGGGGAAUAUUGGGCAAUGGAGGAAACUCUUACCCAGCAAUGCCGCGUGAGUGAAGAAGGUCUUCGGAUUGUAAAGCUCUUUAGUUGGGGACGAAUAAAUGACGGUACCCAAAGAAUAAGCCACGGCAAACUACGUGCCAGCAGCCGCGGUAAUACGUAGGUGGCAAGCGUUGUCCGGAAUGACUGGGCGUAAAGGGUGUGUAGGUGGUUUGUCAAGCCGGGAGUGUAAUACCUAGGGCUCAACCCAGGUGCUGCUUUCGGGACUGAUGAACUUGAGUGCAGGAGAGAAAAGUGGAAUUCCUAGUGUAGCGGUGGAAUGCGUAGAUAUUAGGAGGAACACCGGAGGCGAAGGCGGCUUUUUGGCCUGUAACUGACACUGAAACACGAAAGCGUGGGGAGCAAACA